GUUGAUCCCGCUCGCGGUUUCUUUUCUAUUCAUUUUCCGCCGUCCGUCUAGUCCGUUUUUUUCUUUUUUGUUUUACCGAAAAUUAUUUAUCGGUUUUUCUUUACUCAUGUGGAUUUGAUGUGUAACGUUAUUGUUGAACGCUUACACACGGCUGUGAAACGAAGAAAACAUAAUACAUUUAAAAUAUAGUUUGUUUUUUUAUCAGCGUUAAGUACGUUCAAUACGAUUUGUUUUGCCAAACGAUAUAGGGAGAUAGCUGUUGUUUGAUUUAUUUAUACUUUUUUUGAACGGAAAUGAAUUGAAUUCAAAGGGUCUUCGGUGCUAACGAUACUGUUCAAAACGUUCACAGCUAUAAAACAACGAGUACUCGUUAUGAGUGUUACAACAUCAGUCGUUACACUUGGACGAAAGGAAAUUAAAACUUUUGCGAUGUAAUGUAAAUAAGAAAACCCGGUAAGUUCUACCUUUUUUCUUUCCACUGUACAUGUUUUUAAAAUUUGUUGAUUACAUAAAUUUUUAUUCGUCUUACCAAAAAAUAAAAAGCAACGUGAUUGACGUCAAUGAUAUUUUUAUAAACACAAUCGGAUAUAAAAAGUAUGUAUACAAUACUUUUUAGAAUUCUGUUGUUCACGCCUAUGUUUAUUAGGUCUAUCGUUCGACUACGAUUUAAUCGUGUCUUUAUAUUACGUUAAACGAUUGGAAAUUUGUUUUUUUUAAACACGUUAAAUACAUUCAAAUUGAUUUAUUUUUCCAAUUCGUUAUGAAAUAAAUGUACCGAGUAUGUUGGUUCUCUACCUUUUUUGUAAAUUAUCUUUUUCGUACUACAUUACAUUUUACAUUAAUUACUAUUCGUUUUUCCAAAAUAUAUUAGAACAGAGCUUUUGUUUUACCGAGAAACAUGAGGAGAUAUAGGUAAUCGGAUGUUUUCAUUACAUACACCUGCAAUAUUGAUUUGAUGUGAAAUGCUGUAAUGAUAUUAUAAAAUGCACACACAGCUAUAAAAUAAUGAAGUAAACAUGGGAGAUGUCUGUUGUAUGUUUUCAUUAAACAUUUUCUUUGUUAAGGAAUAAUGCAGUUACUACUUCGGUACUAAUGAUUAACUAAUAAAAACAAACACAACUAUAAACUAAAGAAAACAUGGUAUGCCAUGCAUUUUUCAACUCAUUCUUUCAAUUAUAUAUGUUGAAUGUUAUAUUUUCGGUUUGUAUAAAUAAAUCUUACAGUAUCAGUUUUUACACUUGGAUGAAAGGAAAUGAAUAUAAAUUAAAACUUAUGUGAUAUUAUAAGGAUAAUAGUAAACCCAGUAUGUUUUAGUCUUAAUGUAAAUUA